AAACACAAUAGUAAAAGGUAGUAUUUAUACAUACAAAUAUAGUUAAUGAAGGUGAGAUGAUUUAUAAGGAUUUUCAAUUACAUACGUUAGACAAUGCACUGUGAAACUAAGAAAAGCACUAUAUGAAUUGGGUGGUUAGGUGUGAGUUAAAGUGAAGUAGCAAUGUAGAUGGUAAUGAUGUGAUAGAUCUAAGAAGAAGAUACAGAGUGUGAACCUGAUAAGUUUUAUUUUCCAUAAAAGAUCCUUGUAGGUAGUAGCUAGGAGGGGGGGUGAAACAAGCUAUAGAACUCAUAAUUAAAGGGAAUUGGUUCAGAAAACGGAGACAGGAAUAGUUGAAAGGGUGCAGAGAUUAUUGUUUGUAAUUGGUUGAAGUCAGAAUGUUUGACGAGGUAAGAAGAACUUUUUGGGUGGCAAUGGAAAAACAUUGAAUUACAGAGAGAAGUUUGAGUGAUGGUAAGUAUGAAAGAGAGAUAGUUAAUGGUCUAAUAAAGAAGCUGAUGGAGUUUGAAAGGUAGGAAGUACUUUAAUCCCACGCCUAAUUUGAAGAGAAUGAAUUUGUCACGGUUCAACAAUGUGGUCAUAAAGAGUAAGAAUAAUGCAUGCUUGACUAGCCAUGCAGCUUAAAAUAAGCACGACAUGCUUCGGUUAUACUUAUGUAUCAAAAGCUCGACCACUCCACUAGUCACCGCC
rnacentral:lncRNA from 1 species